UACAGAGGUCCCGAGCGUUGUUCGGAUUCACUGGGCGUAAAGGGUGCGUAGGUGGCUUGGAAAGUUUGAUGUGAAAGCUCAGGGCUUAACCCUGAAAUGGCAUUGAAUACUGCUGAGCUGGAGGUUUGGAGGGGGGACUGGAAUUCUUGGUGUAGCAGUGAAAUGCGUAGAUAUCAAGAGGAACACCAGUGGCGAAGGCGAGUCCCUGGACAACACCUGACACUGAGGCACGAAAGCGUGGGGAGCGAACGGG
rnacentral:rRNA from 1 species